rnacentral:rRNA from 1 species
AGAUUGAACGCUGGCGGCAGGCCUAACACAUGCAAGUCGAGCGGUAGAGAGGUGCUUGCAUCUCUUGAGAGCGGCGGACGGGUGAGUAAUGCCUAGGAAUCUGCCUAGUGGUGGGGGAUAACGUUCGGAAACGGACGCUAAUACCGCAUACGUCCUACGGGAGAAAGCGGGGGACCUUCGGGCCUCGCGCCAUUAGAUGAGCCUAGGUCGGAUUAGCUAGUGGUGAGGUAUGCGUCACAACGGCGACGAUCCGUAACUAGGUCUGAGAGGAUGAUCAGUCACACUGGAACUGAGACACGGUCCAGACUCCUACGGGAGGACAGUACGAGGUGGGGAAAGUA